CGCGGCCUAUCAGCUUGUUGGUGAGGUAAUGGCUCACCAAGGCGACGACGGGUAGCCGGCCUGAGGGGGUGACCGGCCACACUGGGACUGAGACACGGCCCAGACUCCUACGGGAGGCAGCAGUGGGGAAUAUUGCACAAUGGGCGCAAGCCUGAUGCAGCGACGCCGCGUGAGGGAUGACGGCCUUCGGGUUGUAAACCUCUUUCAGUAGGGAAGAAGCGAAAGUGACGGUACCUGCAGAAGAAGCGCCGGCUAACUACGUGCCAGCAACCGCGGUAAUACGUAGGGCGCAAGCGUUAUCCGGAAUUAUUGGGCGUAAAGAGCUCGUAGGCGGUUUGUCGCGUCUGCCGUGAAAGUCCGGGGCUCAACUCCGGAUCUGCGGUGGGUACGGGCAGGCUAGAGUGAUGUAGGGGAGACUGGAAUUCCUGGUGUAGCGGUGAAAUGCGCAGAUAUCAGGAGGAACACCGAUGGCGAAGGCAGGUCUCUGGGCAUUAACUGACGCUGAGGAGCGAAAGCAUGGGGAGCGAACAGGAUUAGAUACCCUGGUAGUCCACACCGUAAACGUUGGGCGCUAGGUGUGGGGCCUAUUCCAUGGGUUCCGUGCCGCAGCUAACGCAUUAAGCGCCCCGCCUGGGGAGUACGG
rnacentral:rRNA from 1 species